rfam:Desulfobacterales bacterium C00003060 5datasets_contig_279.2, whole genome shotgun sequence.
GAAGUCCCACUUGACUAAAGUUUAGCCAGCAGGUCAAUAGUGACGUCCGAGGGUAAACUCCGUAAGGAGAGUCCGAAGCAGGGCGGAGCGAGGAUGCAGGCUGUGUGAUUGAGCCCCGAAAAACCUGCCCGCCAUUGCCGGAGAUGAUAGCAUUCGACCUGCCCACUGUACUUGGCGUUGGCAGGCGGGUGUAUAGUUGUGGACAGUAGGAUAAACUCAUGAUCGAGAGAUUGGGGGAAAGCCGACAGUCUUGAUGCGCUGGAAGGCAGCCGCCCUGGAUGCGCUAUAGCGAGUAUUCAGGACACCACCGGGGGCUGAGAGCA